GGAUGAACGCUGGCGGCGUGCCUAAUACAUGCAAGUCGAGCGAACGGACGAGAAGCUUGCUUUUCUGAUGUUAGCGGCGGACGGGUGAGUAACACGUGGAUAACCUACCUAUAAGACUGGGAUAACUUCGGGAAACCGGAGCUAAUACCGGAUAAUAUUUUGAACCGCAUGGUUCAAAAGUGAAAGACGGUCUUGCUGUCACUUAUAGAUGGAUCCGCGCUGCAUUAGCUAGUUGGUAAGGUAACGGCUUACCAAGGCAACGAUGCAUAGCCGACCUGAGAGGGUGAUCGGCCACACUGGAACUGAGACACGGUCCAGACUCCUACGGGAGGCAGCAGUAGGGAAUCUUCCGCAAAGGGCGAAAGCCUGACGGAGCAACGCCGCGUGAGUGAUGAAGGUCUUCGGAUCGUAAAACUCUGUUAUUAGGGAAGAACAUAUGUGUAAGUAACUGUGCACAUCUUGACGGUACCUAAUCAGAAAGCCACGGCUAACUACGUG
rnacentral:rRNA from 1 species